rnacentral:rRNA from 1 species
UACGUAGGGUGCGAGCGUUAAUCGGAAUUACUGGGCGUAAAGCGUGCGCAGGCGGGCUUUUAAGCCAGACGUGAAAUCCCCGGGCUUAACCUGGGAAUGGCGUUUGGGACUGGAAGUCUGGAGUGCGGCAGAGGAGACUGGAAUUCCUGGUGUAGCAGUGAAAUGCGUAGAUAUCAGGAGGAACACCGAUGGCGAAGGCAGGUCUCUGGGCUGACACUGACGCUCAUGCACGAAAGCGUGGGGAGCAAACAGGAUUAGAAAACCCU